GAAAAACAAAGAAGAGAAGAAGAAGCAGAGCCGGUCUGGAAGAAGCGCGGAAAAGAAAGUGAGAGAACCUGGAGAAGGAGGAGGAGGAGGAGAGGCUGAGAAGACGGCGGGGCAGAGUCGAAGUGAGCAGCAUCGCCUACAAACUAUAGAAAAGAGCGGGAGAGCCAGUUCGCCGGCUGGUUGAGACCUGUUGCAGGCUCGGAAAGCAAAGCUGUCUGCCGGUGCUGAAGACAGAGCUGGUGGCCCAAUGAACUGUAUUAAAAAACACAGCAAAUCCAGAAAACACAAAGAGAAAGAAUCCUGUGAACGUGUGUUUUCCAAGGUAAAUCUAAUGAAAACAAAACCACCAAACCGACUUAUCACAGGCGCCCUUAAUGGGCUCAUGCACACAUCAGAGAGUGUGAAGAUGGCAGGUGGAUGUGCCGGUUUGAAGCCAACAACCACAAUGCUGCGGUCCAUGACAACAUGAGAUGUAAACAGUAAGAGGACUGCCCCCACCCAGCAGGGUGCAGCAGACUCAGACAGGGACUCACAGCUGGAGACUGAACCUGAAGAAAACUGCCAAAGGCGGAGACGUGACGUGACGCAGCCCGGACAGCUGAUGGAGACCGAGGCGAUCAGGGCUACACACCACUUAGUGUUUGUCCACAUUAGAUGUUGGACUUUUGCUUCACUCGGAACAAACACCUGUAGCCCUUGGCCUGUUGUCUGCUGUGCUUCCCUCUUUUCCAGGUUAUUAUACAGCAGGUUCUAUAUGCACUUUAUUUGAAGUUAUAUGCUGUUAAGUGCUGUUUUUGUUGAUUUUCUGAGUUGUUGUCAUUUUUGAGGACAGAGACAUGUUGUUGCUCUGAAAAUAAAAUGUAACAUGUGAAGCCAGAUCUUUAUUUUCUUGUCAGUUAUCAUGAAUACUGUUUCUCUUUGUCUCUCUGCCUGUUAGACGCUGUUCAACACUAGAGUGACUGUAGCGCAUCAAUACACUUGUUAUUUUGGUUAUGACGGCUGUCCGAUCAUUUCCCUCCAAAUACGAUCAUUUGAUGUCUGUGGUACGAUAAUCCUACAUUUCCCAGCUGGCAACGCGGGUUCAGUGAGUUGUUGAGUUGGAGCCACUUUAUAAACUGUGUGAAACUCUGUCUCUGACUCAUUCUGCAUUAUUUGGCCCUUGUUGAUAAUUCAGCAGCUGUUCUACAUGAAGAAUGUUUUCCUGUGUGUCCGAGUGAUGUUGGUGUUCAGCAGGAGGUGACAGAUGUUGACACCGGGUCUGAGCCUCCUCUCGCUCCUUUCAUUACAAACCAAGCCGCCAUUUCUACUAAUUCUCCACUUUGAUUGACAUCUUCCUUUAAUUCAUCUCAAUACUGAUAUUCAAUACUUCACUUUCUCACAAGAUCCCAGAAAAACACACCAACAUUUUUCUCCUUGAUGCAGUUUUUUAAAAUCCUUUUUAUAAGUCUGUCACUCAGUGCCUGUUCUGUCUGAAUGUACUUUUUGCAAAUGAUAAAUAAAAACUUUCAUUGAAAAAAACCCAAA